rnacentral:rRNA from 1 species
UACGUAGGGGGGCGAGCGUUGUCCGGAUUUACUGGGCGUAAAGCGCGUGUAGGCGGCUGUUUAAGUUGGGUGUGAAAGCCCGGGGCUCAACCCCGGGACGCCGCCCAAGACUGGAUGGCUUGAGGACGGAAGAGGGGGCGUGGAAUUCCUGGUGUAGCGGUGAAAUGCGUAGAGAUCAGGAGGAACACCCGUGGCGAAGGCGGCGCCCUGGUCCGUUUCUGACGCUGAGACGCGAAAAGCGCGGGGGAGCGAACGGGG